AGGACGAACGCUGGCGGCGUGCUUAACACAUGCAAGUCGAGCGGAAAGGCCCUUCGGGGUACUCGAGCGGCGAACGGGUGAGUAACACGUGAGUAACCUGCCUCUAGCUUCGGGAUAGCUCCGGGAAACCGGAAUUAAUACCGGAUAUGACCACGGCCGACAUCGGCCACGGUGGAAAGAUUUAUCGGCUAGAGAUGGGCUCGCGGCCUAUCAGCUUGUUGGUGGGGUAACAGCCUACCAAGGCGACGACGGGUAGCCGGCCUGAGAGGGCGACCGGCCACACUGGGACUGAGACACGGCCCAGACUCCUACGGGAGGCAGCAGUGGGGAAUAUUGCGCAAUGGGCGAAAGCCUGACGCAGCGACGCCGCGUGGGGAUGAAGGCCUUCGGUUGUAACCCUUUCGGCAGGGACGAAGCGAAAGUGACGGUACCUGCAGAAGAAGCGCCGGCUAACUACGCGCCAGCAGCCGC
rnacentral:rRNA from 1 species